CACCUACCCCUGGCUACAGCCAGGUCUGAGGCUCAAGUCAUAGGCAGGUCAGGUAAGAAAAAGACACAACUUCAGUGUUUCAGGAGUUGACAUCUGGAUAGGGAGAUGGGCUGAGAUGAACAAUUGUAAACGAUCGAAAGAAUCGCCCAAGACAGUAGAUGUGGUGAGCAGCACAACGUGCCCCAAAGACGUCCACGUCCCAAUCCCCACAACCUGGGAAAGUUAUCUUAUGUGGCAAAGGGGAACGAAGGCUGCGGGCGGAUUAAGGUUGCUACUCAGCUGACCUUAAAAUAAGGAGAGCAUCCCAGACCAUUCAGGUGGACCCGUCGUAAUCGGCAGGAUUAAAACUGAAAGAGGGAGGCAAAAGAGGAGACCAGAGUGACGCUCUCUGAGGAAGGACCCAACCCGCUGUUGUUGGUUUCAGAGAUGGAGGAAGGCAGCCUCCAGAAGCCGGAAGACGCAGGGAAAUCCGUUCUCCUUUCGAGUCUCAAGAGGAACGCAGCCUCGUGGCACCUGGGUUGUAGCCCAGGGAGACCCAUGUCAGAUUUCUAACCUACACAACACUAAGAUAAUAAAUGGUGAUGUUUUAAGCCGCUAAGCUCGUGGCGAUUUGUUACAGCAGCCACAGGAAACUAAUAUCUUAGAGCGACGUUCCCCACACAGGACAAGAGCCCCGCUUGCUCAGAAAGAGGCACCUCCUCCUGCUGGGGGCUGGAGGGUGUGGCGGUCAAGCCAUGGCCGGGAAGGCAGCCCACACCUGGGUGUGAAUCCUGGCCCUCUCAGCAUGGCCCAGGGUGUGCUGCCAGUUUGAGGACACAGGUGUGAGGCCCACACAGCUGCCUGCUACUACUGACCCCAUGUCCACCCUGGUGGCUGUGGGGCCCCGGGGGGUCUGAAUAAAGGCUGGUCCCCACACCUCUAAUCCUCCAAACAACAUUGCAAGGUGUCCUGUUAUCCCCAUUUCACAGCAGAAGAAACUGAGGCUCAGAGAAGGGGAGGAAUCUGUAACAGCCUAUCCCAUCCAUCAUCCUGAGAGCUUUUCAAACUCUAGAUUCCUAAGCCCAGCUGCAGACCCUCUGAGUAAGGAUCUCCAGGAAUCAAAACCAAGCAGCUCUUCUCCAAGCUCCACAAGGGGUCCCAGUGCCCAGACAGGCUCAAGGACCACUGGAUAGUGUCGCUGUGAGCUGCCAGGGUAAAUCCUCAUUUCUGCAGAGUGAAAAAAGGUUUGGUUUCUUUAUCAACCUGGCCACGGUGCAGAGAAUUUGGAUUGGAGAGAGUGUCGGUGAGCCAAGCGGAAGCAGGAGACCAGCUGGUCAACUCUGGGAUGGUGCAAGACAGAGAUGACGAGGGCAGUGGAAAUACAGAGAGGGAAGGCCACCUGAAGACAUAACCAGGAAGUGCCUUCAUCAAGAACCCGACCAUGCUGGCACCCUGAUCUCAGACUUGCAGCCUCCAGAACUGUGAGAACUAAAUGCCUGUUGUUUAAGGCCCCAGUUGACGGCAUCCUGUUAGAGCAGCCCUAACGGACUAAGACAGGCUCCAAAGUCUUCGAGCAACGUGAAAUCUUGAACAGCCCAAAU
rnacentral:lncRNA from 1 species